UGGGGCAGGCGUGGGGUGGGAGGAGCCGACGCGCUCCCGCGCCCCCUGGCGUCAGGCGGGACUCUUCGCAGGUGCCGGGGCGCGUGCCCCAGGUGCUUCCGCGGGCGGUUGCCCUGGAAACGAGCGCUCGCCUAGCCGGAAGGUGGGCUGUAUGGGCGGCCUCGAGUUGACUUCGUGUUGGACUGUCCAGGAGUCGGAAAAUGAACCUUCGAUGGUUUCGGUUACCCAUGGACAAUGAUGGUCUGGACCGAUGGUCUUCCUCCAGACAGAUUGUCAGAAGGUCAUUAGUAGAAUAACAAGACAUCUCAGUGCCGACAUCAUUGUGUCAUCGCAUUGGCAUCAUAUUGUCUCACAUUAUCACAAGAAAGAUGCUGAAGCAAAUGUUAUUGUCACCUUUGCAGAUAAGAAGUCCAGAGUCCAGAGAGGUAUGUAACUUGCUCAAGACCACGCAGCUGAAUAGUCGAAUGCUUUCUCAUU